CACGUAGGAGGCGAGCGUUGUCCGGAAUCAUUGGGCGUAAAGAGCGCGCAGGCGGCUUGGCAAGUCGGGUGUGAAAUCCCGGGGCUCAACCCCGUGACUGCAUCCGAUACUGUCAGGCUAGAGGUAGGUAGGGGGAGAUCGGAAUUCCUGGUGUAGCGGUGAAAUGCGCAGAUAUCAGGAGGAACACCGGUGGCGAAGGCGGAUCUCUGGGCCUUACCUGACGCUCAGGCGCGAAAGCUAGGGGAGCGAACAGGG
rnacentral:rRNA from 1 species